GUCUAGUAUAGCAAUUAUACCGUGAAACUGCGAAUGGCUCAUUAAAUCAGUUAUCGUUUAUUUGAUAGUACCUUACUACUUGGAUAACCGUGGUAAUUCUAGAGCUAAUACAUGCUGAAAACCCCAACUUCGGGAGGGGUGUAUUUAUUAGAUAAAAAACCAACGCCCUUCGGGGCUUCUUGGUGAUUCAUGAUAACUUCACGGAUCGCAUGGCCUUGCGCCGGCGACGGUUCAUUCAAAUUUCUGCCCUAUCAACUUUCGAUGGUAAGGUAUUGGCUUACCAUGGUUUCAACGGGUAAACGGGGGAAUAAA
rnacentral:rRNA from 1 species